UGAGCCCUGACCAGUGUGGCUCAGUUGGUUGGGUGGCGUCCCGGGCACUGAGAAGUUGCUGGUUCUGUCAGCAGUCGACAAGAGGGUCUCUGGCCGGAGACAAUUCUUGUCUUGCUUGUAGGGAUAAAUUCAAACGAGACAACAAAUAACAGCAAAAGCAGGCAAGGAUUUAUUUGUAGGAAAGCAAGACACUCAAAGAGGACCUGAGUGGGCAGGUCAGCUAUCAGAGACCGAACCGAUGCCCCUCUUGGUUAGGAUUUGGGAUAUUUGUACCCCUAGACUGGAGUAGGUCUCAAUAAGUUGCCCCCUCCCAUGUUUCUUAAAAAAAA